rnacentral:misc_RNA from 1 species
CGCGGCGUAUGGCCGUCGCCGUCGAAGUCUGGUUUCUGCGUUGACGGCUGCUCUAUUCGGGUUACAUAUAGAGCAAUACGUGCAUUCAUAUUCACCCAUGUCUUGUAGAGGGGUCAUGUUCCAGCUCGCCCUGGCGUGUGGGCGGCCAACAACACCUGCGCUCCGGGUGCCCCACGCGCGGUUGUACAGCUUGUCGCAUACACGCCUGCAACCGACUCACGCACCACAUGCAGCAGACGAUGAUAACUUCGUAGACAUUGACCAUCUCAUCGGCCUCACCGCAGCGACGCAAAACCCUGCGCUCGAAGCAGGCGCCGCUUCGCCGUCCAGCAGAUUGAGAGACGCUGCAAGGAGCGAGGUGCUUGGCGUGGUCCGGGUUGUACCCGAGGAGGAAGGCACACGCUACUCACGCCUUCGCAUUCCACUGGACGCAGACGAGACGGCAGACACGCGGCCACGGGCUAACACGAGAGCGAGUCUGAUGCCAGGCGAGGAGGCAGACUACGCAGACAAACCUGCCGACGCAUCCGCUAACGCAGCCGUCGAAGUAUCGUCUUUGCCGAACGCAAUUCAAGACGUUGAGGCGGCGAUGACUGCGCAUGAACCUGCCGAGGAGGGUCGGCUCCCCAGCCCGUCUCGCCUCCCGUACGAUGACGAGCGGUUUGCCGAGAUGCUGCUCGAGAUGGAGGUGAAUGGUGUCAUUGACGAGGCGUGGCAGGACGCCAAAAAGGCGCGAAUGGAGGACGUGAAGGAGAUCGCCGACAUUUUGUCGUCGCUGAAGGUGCGGGAUCUCUGCUGCAUCGAUGUCUCCGAGAAGACUUCCAACUUUGACUACAUGAUGUUCGGCACGUGCGAGGGGGCACGGCACAUCCACUUGGCUGCCUGGGCCGUGCAGGACGCAGACAAGGUGCAUCGCAUUUCGAAGAUCAAGCGCAAGCAGACGGACGAGUUGUGGGAGGUUGUGCCGGUCGGCCGUAUCGUGGUGAACCUAAUGGUGGAGAGUUUCCGUGAAGAGAUGACGCUGGAGCGCAAGUGGGCAGUGACACGCUCCAUGGACCCGUUGGCGGCCGCUAAUGCCCCGAUCAGCGAGGGGCGACAGGUGAAGGCGCACGGACUGUGGACACUGACGCUGAACUUGCAGGACCUCGAAGACUUUGAAGUGGACUACUGCAAGGACAUCCUCAUGCGGCAGAUGUGAAGCAAUAGGCUCAAUGAAGGGAGAAAAGAAGAAGGUUUGGUUACCUGGGGACACCGCUGAAUGAUUUGGUGACAUGCGUAUGUGCUAAAUGACGACUGCAGGUGUCCAAUGUUGGCACGCGCGCUCUCCUUCAUUUUCCUCACAUGAAUCGUGGCCAUGAUGACGCCGUGCAAGCCUAAAGACCCCCCCCCCCGAAAAAAAAAACAAGAAAAAAGCCGCCAGCGCCACCAGUAGGCUGUAUCUUAUGGACGGAGAAAGGUGUCAGCGCCCUCGUCUGCGCACUCCCACCCCUCCUUCUCUGUCGACACCAUCGCGGUAGCGCGUGAAGGUGGCACCGAUCGCUGUCGGUGCGAUAUAGCUCGCUCGCAUUCGAGCGUGGCAGCGUCCAUCGAGGUCAUGCCCUGUCCACGACUCCCGACCUUUCAUGGCAUAGCAUCGUUCGUUCUCUCUUCAUCCUUGUCCCUCUUUGCCUGACAUGUGCACAAAUUAG